rnacentral:rRNA from 1 species
UUCUAUGGAGAGUUUGAUCCUGGCUCAGGACGAACGCUGGCGGCGUGCCUAAUACAUGCAAGUCGAGCGGACGAUUCAAAAGCUUGCUUUUGAAUCGUUAGCGGCGGACGGGUGAGUAACACGUGGGCAACCUGCCCUGUAGACGGGGAUAACACCGAGAAAUCGGUGCUAAUACCGGAUAACACGAGA